GAGAAUUUAAAUAGCCGCAGUACCCUGACUGUGCAAAGGUAGCAUAAUCAGUUGGCUUAUAAUUGAAGUCUAGUAUGAAUGGGACCACGGGAAUACUCUGUCUUUAAUAUAUAAAAGAAAUUACUAAUUAAGUGAAAAUUCUUAAAAGUAGAAAAUAGACGAGAAGACCCUAGAAAUUUUUUAAUUUUGAUUUUGUUGGGGCGACAGGGUAACAAAAAACUUACCUAAGAUAAUAGGAAAUUUUUUAGUGGUGUAUUUAAAUUACUCUAGGGAUAACAGCAUAAUAUUUUAAAGGUUGUGACCUCGAUGUUGGACUAGGAAAUACACUACUUAAAAGGUAGUGUAAAUGGUUCUGUUCGAACUUUUUCUCCUACAU
rnacentral:rRNA from 1 species